rnacentral:lncRNA from 1 species
UUCCCCUGUUCCAGUGUUCCCGUACAUCAAAUUUUGUCCAACUAGACACCGUUAAGCUAUUAACAAAUUUUCAGCUUGCUAUUAAUCGACUUUUUUUGGCACGCGGGAUCCAAACCUAUACUCUUUCCGCAUCCCUAUAAGACGAAUCUUUCACUGUACGAAACAGUGCUGCAGGACGCAGGUCAUCUUCUGACAGCCUGUUGAUUAGCUGCGCCGAUUUUUGUUUUACGUCCUCCAAUGACUCAGAGUGGGUUCCUUUCAAGCAAAAUGAGAACAGGUAGAAGUCGCAAGGUGCUAAGUCUGGCGAAUAUAGCAGUUGUUUCAUACUUAUGACCUCUCUUUCCACAUUUCGGGCCUCAUUUUGCGAUUUUUUUCUCGGAAUCUUCGUAAAACCUGUAAGCGAUAUUGAUUAACUGUCUGACCUUGUGACACUAAUUUAAUGUGAACUGCAUUCGUAUAUUUUCUUAUUCUUAUAUAGGCCUCUCUCUUCUACAUACAACCGAUAGACAUUGCAACAAGAAGACAUAAAUUAAAAAACAAUUCGAAUAAGAAAUAAAAAGAAUUUGUGUCUGGACAUGAGUACUUACAUACAUACAUACAUAAUCGUUCUUCUUCUAUUUCUACCGUUAGGUGUCGAGUGAGGUGUGUCUACCUUUUGAUGAAUAUUUCCAUCAUUUUUUUUUCUAAACCAUUUGUGUUGCCUUCUUGCCAAGAUUUGCCCCUAUGUAAUAUCUCUGCUGUCGCUAUUCCUCUCUCUUAUUGGUCUGCCUCUUGUGUUUUCCCCUAUUAUUUUAGCUUCCCACACUCUUUUUACUUGCCUGUUAUUGUCCAUUCGUGUUAUCUGGUCGAACGCAUGCCAAUUUUUUCUCCUUUAUUGUGUCAAUUAACAAGUUAAUUUUAAGUCUGUUUCGUAUUUCUUCAUUUUUGGAUCUGUCUGUCCUUUUUCUUCGUUUUCCUUGAUAUUUCUUUGUUGUUGAGGAAUCCUCUAUUUAGAGCCUGGAAUACUUUUCCUGUACUCAUUAGUAUGUUGUUAAGAUAGUCUUCGAUGCUUCGUCUGUUAUUAAUUAUUACUGUAUUUGUAUAUGUUUGUUUGAUUUAUUUUUUGUUGAUCUACCACUACUUCUAUUAGUUCAUCCGUGUCUGUUUUCGUUGUUCUUUCAUUAUCUGUGUCUACUCUUUUUUUACAUUUAGGUUGUAUUUUUUUGCUUCUGAGUUUUAUUUUUCUAAAUUGUGCUUUCUGCUGUUUCAGCGAAUAAAUACCAUGUCAUCUGCAAAUACGCAUAUUAUCUCUGUAUUUAUCAUUUGCAUUCUAUUCCGUCCUAUACAGUACCCAUUUUUAAUGGUUUUCUUACAUUCUUGUAUUACAUUUAUAAUAAGUAUUGGGCUUACACUAUCUCCUUGUCUAACUCCUUGCGUUGUUUCAAAUGGUCGAAUAUGUUGGAGAUAUAUACGUUUUUUAACCGAAAAGCAACAUUCUCUUUUGAUUCCAAAUAAUUUUUAGAACUUACUACUUACGUACUUUGUCGAUUUUAGAAAA